rnacentral:lncRNA from 1 species
AUGGGUCUAGGGAUGAGUAGGGGACUUGAUCUUUCAGUGGGGCCCAUGGAGAGAAUGGCUUCAGACUUAAUUAUGUCUUUACAAUUCUUGUCCAACUGGUCUGCCCAAGUUACACAGACUGACAAGGAGGUGAGCCAGCAAGCAGUCCUACUUAGAAACCAGGGUGACUCUAAGAUGGAGAGAAAGCCUACAAGGGACAUAUGUACAUUUCACACACUAAGCAUUUUUAUGAUUCCUAUGGCAAAUGUCCCUGUCACCUCCCUUCUUAAACCACUCAUGCCAGCGGUUGCAUCCAUCAUUAGGCUGAAGGAGGCUAAAGGAGGUUACUUAGAUGUUCCCGGAGUUUAAAUGACAUAUGCCUUUAAUGUAAACCUUGCUCUUUCUGGAUUUUUCCUUCAUAUGUAGUACUGGACUGAAUUAGAUAUCAUCAGAGGGCUUCUCUAACUUCAAUACUCUGAAGGUGACCAUUAAAAAUUAGAUGAGGCCUGAAGAGAAAUGAAAUUUGAACAGUGGAGGCUGGGGAAGCUGAUUGACCUAUAUAAUUCUGUUGUCAGUCUGAAAGCAACAAACUCCAUAUUCUAGUUCUUGAUUUCUCUGAAUUCCAUAAGCUCCUCCCGCCCAGGAGUUAAGAAUAGUAGAGACUUAAUAUACAUCCUCCCACCAUGACCUUUUCCCCCUUGUGUCCUAAGAAGAAUUAGUAUAAGUUCUUGGUUUAACUCUUAAUUGCUAUCAGCAGACAUAAAAAGUUUUGUGUAGGGCUCUUUGAACCAAUUAGCAUUUAUAAUUCUAAAAAAUUCUUAUUUUUUCCAGAAGAAAACCCAAACCUAUCACUGUGUUAGAUAAGUUGAGUUUCUAGAAGGAAAUGUGGAUUUUACAUCUGCCACAGGCUUACUGCUCC